UACUAAGGGGGCUAGCGUUGUUCGGCAUUACUGGGCGUAAAGCGUGCGCAGGCGGUUCGUUAAGUCAGAUGUGAAAGCCCCGGGCUCAACCUGGGAACUGCAUUUGAAACUGGCGGGCUUGAGUGUGGCAGAGGGGGGUGGAAUUCCGCGUGUAGCAGUGAAAUGCGUAGAGAUGCGGAGGAACACCGAUGGCGAAGGCAGCCCCCUGGGCCAACACUGACGCUCAGGCACGAAAGCGUGGGGAGCAAACAGG
rnacentral:rRNA from 1 species